UAUUUUUACGUUCGAUUUUCCGUUUUGUCUCUUCAGAUGUUUAUGAGGUACAGGGUGGCGCAAAAGUAAUCCUCCUAUCAAAAUAUGCUUUAAAUUUUUCAAUUGGCAUCUCAUGCCCCUAACCUCCCGUUUUGGCGAUUAGCACUGGCCAGCAAGUUCGCCUGAAUUGACCGCUCCAGACUUCUUUUGUGUGGUUUUUUGAAGUCGCGGGUUUAUGUCAACAAGCCUGAAACUCUUGCAGCUUAUAAAGACAAUACCCGUCAAGAAUGUGAAGACCUAUCGGCGGAAGCUCUGGCCAAAGAGAUGGAAAAUGCUAACAAAAGGGCUCAAAUGACAAUCAACUGUGGCGGUGACAUCAUAUUACAUGACAUCAUAUGCUCGACUUGAUGUAAAAAUAAUUUAAAAGACAAAAAGCUAACAUUUUUGAUUCGUAACUUUAUUUCUCAUAAUCAACAUGGAUUCCUGCCUGGGCGAUCCACCACAACCAACUUAGUGGUUUUCUCUAAGCACUGCCUGGAGGCCAUUAGCUGCAUUAGGGAUAGCUAUCUACUGCAGGAUUAUUUGCGCCGAGUCUCUUCUUGUAAGAGGGCGCUAGACUUAUGUACUUCCUAUGCAAUUGGCAACCAUGACCUGGAGCACAAAGAGGAGGUGGUUGAUCUUGGCGUCCUUUUUGACUCAAAUUUAAAACUUUCCAGCGAUUUAGAUUUUAUAAUGCCUAAGGCGUAUGCCAUGUUGGGUUUUGUGAAGCUGCACACAGACCAAUUCAAGAGCCCGUACGUGAAACUUAGUGUUUACGCCGCAUCAUACGCCGCAUACGCCGCUGGAAUAUGCCUCUAUCAUUUGGAGCUCCGCAAAUAAAAUAAGUUCCAAUAGAGUUGAGCGGUUGCAGAAAAAAUUUUUAAAAUUUGCACUUCUCCCUUUAAGGUUUGGGGAUCGGUGCCUUCUCCUCCACAUAUGUACACUUGAGCGCACUGUGGCAGCUUUAACUUUUAUCAAUAACAUAGUAAUUAGCAGCAUUGAUUGCCCCAUGUUAUUGGAGCUUAUAAACUUCAAUGUGCCCCAGAGGGAUCUUCGCUCGUUUGCUCCUUUUCGGAUUGCUUGUCGUAGGGCCAAUUACCUUUUGAACGAGCCUACUGAUAGAGCAUUAUCAUUUUUUAAUACUUUGCCGCCUAGCCUCCGAACUAAGUGGGGCUUUGACAAACAAGCGUUUAGGGUCUUAUUGGUUAGGCAUUUCUUAAGUAGUAUGUAAGUUAGAUUAUAUAGUAGCCAUGUAAGAUUAAAAUAAUCAAUGGCGAAAGAGA